rnacentral:lncRNA from 1 species
GGGCAUGUUGCAAAAGCCCCAGACAAAAUCAGCCAGGGAAGGCAGGAAAGGCAAAUAAAAUCAGGGAGGAAGGUUUCCCCUUUAUCCCAAGAGUCAAAGCAAACCAUGUGUGCACUAGUACAUGUGUGCAUAUGCAGGUGCACACAUGCUCACCCUCCUAUGCACCCAGUCUCCUAAAUUCAAAGGUAGUUUGUUCAUUUCUCUUUAUUCCACUAGGAUUCAGACAGCCGAAAAACCCAAUAAUUAAGAAGCUUUUGCUCAGUGCGACUGCCAAGCAGACAUCAGGUUGGCUGCAGCACUGUUUGGUGUGGAUAUGGCUCUCCAGUGAUUCAUAACCAGCCCAAUCGGAACAGGGUUCAUCAGUGCCCCAACCAACAAAAACACAACUGCAAUGUUUUCAGUUCUUUCCCUUCUCCUUUAAAGAGAAAUACACACACACGCAGAGGAAAAACAGAGCUAGAGAAUGCUUUCUAACCUGGUACAGCAUAUUACACUAAUUUGGGGAUGCUGUUACUCAUGCAUCAUUCACGACCCUGCCAAACCCAGGAACAAACAGUCCCUACAAUCUCGAUCGGACUGUCUGAGAUGAACUUUGUAGAGUUUUCCAAUCUGAAAGAGCCCAAAUAGGAAACAUCCUUCCCCACUGCUAGCUCCUGUAAUGGGCAGCAUACCAGGCAGUGUCCUUACCCUGAUCUGCUUCUCUAUUGAUAUUUUUGUCCAGCAGUGGCUGCAGGGCAGGUGAAGGGAUCUGCAAAUGUCAUGUGCUGUCAUCUUUCCACUGGCUGGCGUCAGAGCCCUCAGAGGCUCCGUGUUGGGACAGCUUCUCCCAUGGUGACAAAGUCCCUGGAAAUGAGGAGGAAGUUGAACGUGGACAUCACUUCUGCCCUGGAGGGACUACACCAUGAAGGGUGGCAGCUGCUCACCCACCAGUACCCCAAAGCCAUCCUUCCACAGAGUGUCAUGGAAGGGAAGGGUCCCUUGAGAGAGAAGGCUGGGGCUGCCUGGCAAGGUGAGGAAAGCCAGCUCUUGGACCACCUCAUGGUGGGAGGUGGACUUGUUUAUCAGCAGAGCUUGCGUGGUGCCACCCCUUUUCAUUCUGGACUGAGUCAACCCCCCAGACACCAAUGAACGUGCUCUUGUAAACAAACACCAUGGUUGUUCAGUUUUUGUUGCUGCUGUUGCUGCUGUUAAAUGUUUUUCUUUCUUUUCCAGAUAAAACUGCUUUGCCUUCAGAAAAUGGGGCAACAUAACCUUUGCAGACACUUGAGCAACUUUUAAAUGUUCUCGGUUGGGAUGGGAGCCUUUGCUUUCCUGGUGAAAAAGGCAUCACCAUGGGCAGUAAACAGUUCUGGGGCACUGGAGAGGACACAGUGAAAGUGCAUUAAAAAUAUAAAGACUCAAAACUCUUCCUUGACCUCACCACCUUUAGUGACAUGUGGGAAGAGGUGCAAUAGGGGUGUCCAAUGGAGUCCACAAUGUCUUGUCUGUCUCUUUCAUGUUCCUGCUCUAUUUUCCUCUGUGUUAAGUGAUUUUUAAAUUUUUUAAAAAUUUCUAUUCUGCUCUUCUCAUGCUUGUGUAGCCCUGGUUGUACUGAUAGCUUCACUUUGGCCAUGGUUGAGCAUUAGCGGUUAACAGCACGUGUCCCACCAGCUGGUGUAUGGCUGGCCAUGGAACUUACAGCUUUUGAGGGAUGUAGUGUCCCCUUCACUGUCACCAGAGUGGAUAGUUGUAUGCCUCUGGCAGCAACACUAAUGCAAGACUUUGGUUUUCCCAUUUUGUCCUUUCC